GACGAACGCUGGCGGCGUGCCUAACACAUGCAAGUCGAACGAGAAUCUUUGAACAGAUCUUUUCGGAGUGACGUUCAAAGAGGAAAGUGGCGGACGGGCGAGUAACGCGUGAGUAACCUGCCCAUAAGAGGGGGAUAAUCCAUGGAAACGUGGACUAAUACCGCAUAUUGUAGUUAAGUUGCAUGACUUGAUUAUGAAAGAUUUAUCGCUUAUGGAUGGACUCGCGUCAGAUUAGAUAGUUGGUGAGGUAACGGCUCACCAAGUCAACGAUCUGUAGCCGAACUGAGAGGUUGAUCGGCCGCAUUGGGACUGAGACACGGCCCAGACUCCUACGGGAGGCAGCAGUGGGGAAUAUUGCGCAAUGGGGGCAACCCUGACGCAGCAACGCCGCGUGCAGGAAGAAGGUCUUCGGAUUGUAAACUGUUGUCGCAAGGGAAGAAGACAGUGACGGUACCU
rnacentral:rRNA from 1 species